UACGAAGGGGGCUAGCGUUGCUCGGAAUCACUGGGCGUAAAGGGUGCGUAGGCGGGUCUUUAAGUCAGGGGUGAAAUCCUGGAGCUCAACUCCAGAACUGCCUUUGAUACUGAAGAUCUUGAGUCCGGGAGAGGUGAGUGGAACUGCGAGUGUAGAGGUGAAAUUCGUAGAUAUUCGCAAGAACACCAGUGGCGAAGGCGGCUCACUGGCCCGAUACUGACGCUGAGGCACGAAAGCGCGGGGAGCAAACAGG
rnacentral:rRNA from 1 species